UACGGGGGGGGCAAGCGUUGUUCGGAAUUACUGGGCGUAAAGGGCUCGUAGGUGGCCAACUAAGUCAGACGUGAAAUCCCUCGGCUUAACCGGGGAACUGCGUCUGAUACUGGAUGGCUUGAGUUUGGGAGAGGGAUGCGGAAUUCCAGGUGUAGCGGUGAAAUGCGUAGAUAUCGUAAGGAAGACCAGUGGCGAAGGCGGGUCUCUGGACAGUUCCUGACGCUGAGGCACGAAGGCCAGGGGAGCAAGCGGG
rnacentral:rRNA from 1 species